rnacentral:rRNA from 1 species
AUUGAACGCUGGCGGCAGGCCUAACACAUGCAAGUCGAGCGAGCGGCGGACGGGUGAGUAAUGUAUGGGGAUCUGCCUGAUAGAGGGGGAUAACUACUGGAAACGGUGGCUAAUACCGCAUACUAUCGGAUGAACCCAUAUGGGAUUAGCUAGUAGGUGGGGUAAAGGCUCACCUAGGCGACGAUCUCUAGCUGGUCUGAGAGGAUGACCAGCCACACUGGGACUGAGACACGGCCCAGACUCCUACGGGAGGCAGCAGUGGGGAAUAUUGCACAAUGGGCGCAAGCCUGAUGCAGCCAUGCCGCGUGUGUGAAGAAGGCCUUCGGGUUGUAAAGUACUUUCAGCGGGGAGGCGUUACCCGCAGAAGAAGCACCGGCUAACUCCGUGCCAGCAGCCGCGGUAAUAC